rnacentral:rRNA from 1 species
UACGUAGGUGGCAAGCGUUGUCCGGAUUUACUGGGCGUAAAGAGCGCGCAGGCGGUCGUUCAAGUCGCGUGUGAAAGCCCCCCGGCUCAACUGGGGAGGGUCACGCGAUACUGAUCGACUCGAAGGCAGGAGAGGGUAGUGGAAUUCCCGGUGUAGUGGUGAAAUGCGUAGAUAUCGGGAGGAAUACCGAUGGCGAAGGCAGGUCUCUGGGCUGACACUGACGCUCAUGCACGAAAGCGUGGGGAGCAAACAGG